CAACCAAGCACUGCACAAAAUCAAUGAAUCAAGCCUGAUUACAGUAUUGAUAGAGUCUGACAGGUAUCAAAACACUAGAAUACACCAAAGAAACCUAACCACCUUACUAGUUGAGACUUCUUUUGAUUGCUGUGUCAUGGAAAGUGAGUCCUGAAGUUGGGGAAAUUCCAGCAAUCCUGGCAUCACCACAGGAAAUACCGGAGGGCCCAAAGAAUAAACUAGAUCUAGAUAAAUCAAAUGGAAGUAUUAUGAAAAAAAAAUAAGGAUAAAAAUGUAGAACAUAAAAUAAAAAUGAGCCAUCAAAAGAUGCCAGCAGUAUGAAUACUAGCAGUAUGUAGGUUCAGAGUGAUGAUGAUACAAAGAGUAAAGAAACACCUACUGACCGAACCACUGACACUGUUUCACAAGGUGAUACAAAUGA